rnacentral:misc_RNA from 1 species
AAUGGAGUGAAAAAAAAAAGCAUCAAAGGUAAAGAUAAUUUACCCAUCAUACUUAUGUUAUCUCAGGAAAACCAAAAGAUAAUUGAUCACAAAGGAUGCAACAUGAUGUAUCUUAAUGACAUACCAGCAAAUAAAAAAACAAAGCAAGUGAGCAAGUCUGUGAUACUAAAAGCUGCCAUCUUGCUGACACAUGUACAUAUCACUUGGUUUCAUUCAACCGCAUGCAUUUAAGAGUGUCUGAUUAAAUGAAUUUUCAAUAUAACAACAUAUCAAGUUAAAUAUCUAUUAAAAAAAAUUGGAAUAUCUUUAAGAAAUUAUGCAAAGCAGCAAAGAAACUCACUUGAAGAUUGCGAAGCCGGACAGA